UACAUAUGUCCCCAGCUCUGCCACAA
rnacentral:piRNA from 1 species